AACGAACGCUGGCGGCAGGCUUAACACAUGCAAGUCGAACGCCCCGCAAGGGGAGUGGCCGCCGGGUGAGUAACGCGUGGGAACAUACCCUUUUCUACGGAAUAGCUCUGGGAAACUGGAAUUAAUACCGUAUACGCCCUACGGGGGAAAGAUUUAUCGGGGAAGGAUUGGCCCGCGUUGGAUUAGCUAGUUGGUGGGGUAAAGGCCUACCAAGGCGACGAUCCAUAGCUGGUCUGAGAGGAUGAUCAGCCACAUUGGGACUGAGACACGGCCCAAACUCCUACGGGAGGCAGCAGUGGGGAAUAUUGGACAAUGGGCGCAAGCCUGAUCCAGCCAUGCCGCGUGAGUGAUGAAGGCCUUAGGGUUGUAAAGCUCUUUCACCGAUGAAGAUAAUGACGGUAGUCGGAGAAGAAGCCCCGGCUAACUUCGUG
rnacentral:rRNA from 1 species